rnacentral:rRNA from 1 species
UGCGUAGGCGGAUUAAUAAGUCAGUGGUGAAAUCUCUCGGCUCAACCGGGAAACUGCCAUUGAUACUGUUAAUCUUGAGUUCGGUUGAGGUAGGCGGAAUGUGUAAUGUAGCGGUGAAAUGCUUAGAUAUUACACAGAACACCAAUUGCGUAGGCAGCUUACUAGACCGACACUGACGCUGAGGUACGAAAGCGUGGGUAGCGAACAGGAUUAGAUACCCUGGUAGUCC